rnacentral:lncRNA from 12 species
AACCGACUGAGCCAUCCAGGCGCCCUGCUGUCUCCACGCUUCCGCUGUUGAAGCAGAGGACCCUGUUUUGUGAGUCAGGAGAGUCCUUGAUGAUGACAUGUUG